rnacentral:rRNA from 1 species
UACGGAGGGUGCAAACGUUGUUCGGAAUUACUGGGCGUAAAGCGCGUGUAGGCUGCUCUGCAAGUCGGGUGUGAAAGCCCCGGGCUCAACCUGGGAAGUGCACUCGAAACUGCAGAGCUCGAGUCCUGGAGAGGAAGGCGGAAGUUCUCGGUGUGAGAGGUGAAAUUCGUAGAUAUCGAGAGGAACACCGGUGGCGGAAGGCGGCC